rnacentral:rRNA from 1 species
CGCUCUUGUAAAUUAAACAUAAGAGGUCCCGCCUGCCCUGUGACUAUGGGUUUAACGGCCGCGGUAUUUUGACCGUGCAAAGGUAGCGCAAUCACUUGUCUUUUAAAUGGAGACCUGUAUGAAUGGCAUCACGAGGGCUUAACUGUCUCCUCUUUCAAGUCAAUGAAAUUGAUCUGCCCGUGCAGAAGCGGACAUAAAAACAUAAGACGAGAAGACCCUAUGGAGCUUUAGAUACUAGACAGAUCUUGUUAAAUAACCCAAAAUAAAGGGAAAAACAUAAAGACUACUAGUUUACUUAUCUUUGGUUGGGGCGACCGCGGAGGAAAAUAAAGCCUCCACGAGGACUGAAGGCACUGCCUUCAUAACCAAGAGCAACAGCUCUAAGUAUCAGAAAUUCUGACCUAAAUGAUCCGACAUACGUCGAUCAACGAACCGAGUUACCCUAGGGAUAACAGCGCAAUCCUCUUCUAGAGUCCCUAUCGACAAGAGGGUUUACGACCUCGAUGUUGGAUCAGGACAUCCUAAUGGUGCAGCCACUAUUAAGGGUUCGUUUGUUCAACGAUUAA